AGGAGAAUAUCAAGCUGGUGGAAAAGUCGAUUUCGUCCUUGCUUUUGUUAGUGUUGGAUAGGUAUCACGAUCGGGAAUUGAGUGGUUUACAUCAACAUCAGAAAGAGCGAAAGAAGAGAGAGGAAAGAAGAGAGGAAAGGAGACGAUCUCGGUGACAAUAGACCGGUUGCAAGCUGUGAAACUCGAAUUGUAUUGCUAAUCUCAGAAUACAUAGUUGUACUGUAAACAAAUAGAACAGAUUCUGUGGGUUCUACAGUUUCAGAUCCGGGUAGCUCGAUCCGAAUCUCUACAAUUUUUAUUGAAAGAGAUUCGGAUCGAGCUAGCAGCCAAGUAUUCUUCCUUGUCCCAAAAAGGGGGAAACUGCUCAAAGAGAAGGAAUAGGAGAAGAUUUGCAGCCAUUCACCAAGAAAAACGAUAUCGCCAAUAAACCAGAUGAAAAGGAAAAGAAAAACAAAGGUGAGGGAGGUAUAGGGAUGACCAUGGAAGGAGAGCAGCAAGGAUCUUGGCCUCAUUGUUGGAAGAUUCAAACUGAAGAGAUGAACUGAGCUAAAACCAGAAAAUUAAAACAAUGGAAAAUGAAAAAAAAAAACGGAAAAACAGGGACAGAGCCCAAACAGAGGGGCCGCCCCCAACUCUCAAGCCUUCGAUCUUGAUCUAGAGGGAUCAAGAUCUGAGCUAGAGAGGAGGGGGAGGGAAAUGGAAUGUCUAAUGUUUUUUCACCCGGAGAACUAAUUGGAUUGCUGCGAGCUGAACGAACGGGGCGCGCUUUAGAAGAAGUGAUUUGUUACCGAGCCAUAUUAUUAGGAAUAACGAAAGCAUCUCUAAAUACUCAAAAUUUCAUAUCCGAAGCAAGUUUUCAAGAAACUGCUCGAGUUUUAGCAAAAGCUGCCCUCCGGGGUCGUUUCGAUUGGUUGAAAGGUCUGAAAGAGAACGUUGUUCUAGGAGGGAAGAUACCCGUUGGUACCGGAUUCAAAGGAUUCGUGCACCGUUCAAGGCAACAUAACAACAUUUCUUUGGAAACCAAAAAUAAGAGUUUAUUCGAGGGGGAAAUGAGAGAUAUUUUGGUCCA